CGGCGGAACACGUGAAAUUCCGUCGGAAUCCGGGAGGACCAUCUCCCAAGGCUAAAUACUCCCUAGUGACCGAUAGUGAACCAGUACCGUGAGGGAAAGGUGAAAAGCACCCCGGAAGGGGAGUGAAACAGUUCCUGAAACCGUGUGCCUACAAGUAGUUAGAGCCCGUUAAUGGGUGAUAGCGUGCCUUUUGUAGAAUGAACCGGCGAGUUACGAUUUGUUGCAAGGUUAAGCGGAAAAAGCGGAGCCGUAGCGAAAGCGAGUCUGAAUAGGGCGCAUAAGUAACAGGUCGUAGACCCGAAACCAGGUGAUCUACCCAUGUCCAGGAUGAAGGUAAGGUAAUACUUACUGGAGGUCCGAACCCACGCACGUUGAAAAGUGCGGGGAUGAGGUGUGGGUAGCGGAGAAAUUCCAAUCGAACUUGGAGAUAGCUGGUUCUCUCCGAAAUAGCUUUAGGGCUAGCCUCGAGGUAAAGAGUCAUGGAGGUAGAGCACUGUUUGGACUAGGGGCCCUUCUCGGGUUACCGAAUUCAGAUAAACUCCGAAUGCCAUGUACUUAUACUCGGGAGUCAGACUGCGAGUGAUAAGAUCCGUAGUCGAAAGGGAAAC
rnacentral:rRNA from 1 species